rnacentral:rRNA from 1 species
CCUACGGGUGGCUGCAGUAGGGAAUCUUGCGCAAUGGGCGAAAGCCUGACGCAGCAACGCCGCGUGAACGAGACGCCCUUCGGGGUGUAAAGACCUGUCAGUUGGGACGAAAAAUGACGGUACUCAUAGAGGAAGCACCGGCUAACUCCGUGCCAGAAGCCGCGGCAACACGGAGGGUGCAGGCGUUGUCCGGAAUCAUUGGGCGUAAGGGGGUCGUAGGCGGCUUGUAAUGUCAGGUGUUAAAGGCGCAGGCUCAACCUGAGUAUGGCACUUGAUACUUGCAAGCUGGAGGGCGGUAGAGGUAAGGGGAAUUCGUGGGGUAGCGGUGAAAUGCGUAGAUAUCGCGAAGAACUCCGAUUGCGAAGGCAGCGUACCGGCGCGAAACUGACGCUGAGGCACGAAAGCGUGGGGAUCGAACAGGAUUAGAUACCCGAGUAGUC